rnacentral:rRNA from 1 species
AGCGAACGCUGGCGGCAGGCCUAACACAUGCAAGUCGAACGGAUCCUUCGGGAUUAGUGGCGGACGGGUGAGUAACACGUGGGAACGUGCCUUUUGGUUCGGAACAGCUCAGGGAAACUUGAGCUAAUACCGGAUGUGCCCUUCGGGGGAAAGAUUUAUCGCCAUUAGAGCGGCCCGCGUCUGAUUAGCUUGUUGGUGAGGUAAAGGCUCACCAAGGCUACGAUCAGUAGCUGGUCUGAGAGGAUGAUCAGCCACACUGGGACUGAGACACGGCCCAGACUCCUACGGGAGGCAGCAGUGGGGAAUCUUGCGCAAUGGGCGAAAGCCUGACGCAGCCAUGCCGCGUGAAUGAUGAAGGUCUUAGGAUUGUAAAAUUCUUUCACCGGGGACGAUAAUGACGGUACCCGGAGAAGAAGCUCCGGCUAACUUCGUGCCAGCCGCCGCCGUAACAC